AAGGCUAUACUUUCAGGGUUCAUUUCCAUAGUUUGUUACUAGAGAAUUUUCUCUGAUUGUGUAAAAAAAAAAAUUCACUUUAUGGU
rnacentral:snoRNA from 1 species